rnacentral:tmRNA from 1 species
GCCGGAGGGGCUUGCCCCUUGGCUAUGGUGAUAAACGGCGCGUGGAAUAAGUGUUGUGGACCCGGGGGCGGUACCCGGCGUCUCCACCA